UACGGAGGGUGCAAGCGUUAUCCGGAUUCACUGGGUUUAAAGGGUGCGUAGGCGGAUAGGGAAGUCCGUGGUGAAAUCCUGCAGCUUAACUGCAGAACUGCCGUGGAUACUCUCUAUCUUGAAUAUCGUGGAGGUUAGCGGAAUAUGUCAUGUAAGCGGUGAAAUGCUUAGAUAAUGACAUAGAACACCCAUUGCGAAGGCAGCUAACUACGCGAUCAUUGACGCUGAUGACACGAAAGGCGUGGGGAUCAAACAGGA
rnacentral:rRNA from 1 species